rnacentral:rRNA from 1 species
UACAGAGGUCCCAAGCGUUGUUCGGAUUCAUUGGGCGUAAAGGGUGCGUAGGCGGCGCGGUAAGUCGGGUGUGAAAGCCCGGGGCUUAACCUGGGAGGUGCGCUUGAUACUCGAGGGCUUGAGUGCGGGAGAGGAGAGUGGAAUUCCCAGUGUAGAGGUGAAAUUCGUAGAUAUUGGGAAGAACACCGGUGGCGAAGGCGGCUCUCUGGACCGUAACUGACGCUGAGGCGCGAAAGCGUGGGGAGCAAACAGG